GUCCCUGUAGCCAAUGGAUAGUUUUUGGACUUCUAAUCCCAAGAUCGUGGGUUCGAAUCCCACUUGGGAUG